rnacentral:ncRNA from 1 species
GUGUGUGGUGGGCGCAUUCACGACGGUGUGUCGAAUUUUACGUUUCUGGGAGAAUUUACGAAUUGAGAGCUCUUUCUUUAGUCGGUGGAUGGUGGACCAUGUCCGUUCUUGGUUGGUGCAGCGAUUUGUCUGGUUGAUUUCGAUAACGAACGAGUCUCUAGUCUAUUAAAUAGGUGCGUGGUUCUCUGCACCUUGCACCUUUCUCAGAGGGACAAGCGGCUCCUAGCCGCACGAAACAGAGCAAUAACAGUUCGGUGAUGCCCUUAGAUGUCCGGGACCGUACGCGCGCUACACUGAAGGAAGCCGCGUGUUUUUAUCCUUGUCUGUUAAGACGGUAAGCUUAGAAAAAGGUGGCUUGAGCAAAUAC